rnacentral:rRNA from 1 species
ACGUGAGCAACCUGCCCCUGACUCUGGGAUAAGCCUGGGAAACCGGGUCUAAUACCGGAUAUGACCAUCCUCCGCAUGGUGGGUGGUGGAAAGUUUUCGGUCAGGGUUGGGCUCGCGGCCUAUCAGCUUGUUGGUGGGGUGAUGGCCUACCAAGGCGACGACGGGUAACCGGCCUGAGAGGGCGACCGGUCACACUGGGACUGAGACACGGCCCAGACUCCUACGGGAGGCUGCAGUCGAGAAUCUUCCGCAAUGGGCGCAAGCCUGACGGAGCGACGCCGCGUGGAGGACGAAGGCCCU